rnacentral:rRNA from 1 species
UACAGAGGUCUCAAGCGUUGUUCGGAUUCAUUGGGCGUAAAGGGCGCGUAGGCUGCGGGGCAAGUCGGGUGUGAAAUCUCAGAGCUCAACUCUGAAACUGCACUCGAUACUGCUUUGCUCGAGGACUGGAGAGGAGAUUGGAAUUCACGGUGUAGCAGUGAAAUGCGUAGAUAUCGUGAGGAAGACCAGUGGCGAAGGCGGCCCUCUGGCUCGACCCUGACGCUGAGGCGCGAAAGCGUGGGGAGCGAACGGG